rnacentral:lncRNA from 1 species
GGGAUGUUUGUUUUGGAGUCCUGUUCUGCCUAGGCAGGAGGUCAAAACAAGAGAUACAGAAGGGCACAGAAACAGAACAUAAUAGCCAGGAACUUCUUUUCCUACUGGCCUUGACUUCAGUUUCUAUACUCUUCCAUGAACAAGACUCAACACCACCACCAAGAGCCAGGUGAUGUUUUGGGUUGUUUUGUUUUGUUUUGUUUUGCCAGCUCAGCCCCUCCUAGAUGAACUGGACAGAUGUUAUCAAUAUGGUAAAGUGGUCUGAGAACAAUCCUGGCCGGGAAACAGAGGAAUGCGCAUGUGAAGAGCACAGAUGGACUCAGACCUGCAGCGCAGUCGCUGCAGAGGUGCGGACUUCAUCCCCAGCCCCCUGCUCUGCCAUCAUUGUCCGACCCGCUGCAGAGAUGAGCACACACUCUGAGAAGAAACCUUUCCAUUCUCGCCACGCUGAAAAAAAAAAAAAAAAACACCACUGUGUUAUGAAUUGCUGUCCGAACCCUGGUAUUUUUGAUCCACUGUUAAAAAAAAAAAAAAAUUACCUUGUUUCCGUCUCAACAUCUGACAGGUGACUUCUUUUCGAGAGGACGUGUUAGUUACCUACAAAACUACUACUUUUUGAAAGAUUUUGUAUACACACUAACUAACCAAGGUAACAGCAGUUUACCUCCCGAUUUUCUUAGAUUUUAGGAGACUCUUAAUCAUUGGUGCUCUGAAUCUGAAAGCCUUGGGCUCCAAGACUUCCCAUGUGCGGUACAAGAGAGGCGGUCCUAGAGAAAGGGGUGGUAGGAUUCGUGUACGCAUUUAUCUUCUGAGCAGUGGUCUCCAUGGGGGGACUCUGAUGCACGUCUAUAAGCUCCAGGACAGAAGCCAAGGUUGACUGUGGGACCUUAGGAAGCCACUUGAUAAUGACCCUAGUUCUCCACCCAACUCCAGCCAUCUCAGACACUUAGUCACCUUCAAAGGGCUCCACAAGAAUCGUCACCCUCCCUCCAUUUUCAAUUGGUUUGCUGCAUUCAGGAAGGUGUCCCCUAAUGAGCAGCGAGAAUUGGGCUGCUUAUUUCCCAACAAUAGUCACUUACCUCUGGCCAAGUACCCUUCCAUAGAGACACAACCCUCUGCCCGCCCUCCAUACUGUGUGCCAAAACCCAGGCGUGGCCUAAAGACUGAGUUUAAUGCCUCCUAUAGGGACUCAAUGAAUGCUAGAGCAGGAGACUAUCGAUUUAGUUAAAGGUUAAAAGUAUAUAAAUAAAUAUAUACAUAUAUAAAUAAAUAUACAUAUAAGAUAAUACCCAUGACAAGGAUCAACAGAGUGCCAAAUAUUCAAACUGUACAGAGUUACCCUCACCAGGACUAAACCACUUUAUGUAAGUCUCUUUUUCAUGCCUUUUCGGGUUCUUUUGAUAAACCCUUCUUCCCAGCAUGCCGUAUCCUAUCUGAUGUAUCUCUCAUUGCCAACCGGGUUUCUUCCUUCUCAUCAAUAAUUUGUCAGAAUGACGGUCAUCAUUUUAAGUCAUUUUUAUUUAAAGAUUACUUUUUUAAGUUUUCUUUCCUCUGUGAGGUUUUUUCUUUUUAAUUUUUACUGUUAGGUGACUAUGGAAACACCAUUGUCCAGAAUCUUUUAUGAUAACACCUCUUUCAUUUGAUGUCUGUAUUGCCAAUAUUCACCUCCUGUAAAUAGUUCUGCAAUUAAAUUUUUGGAGAAAAGU